rnacentral:rRNA from 1 species
AGGACGAACGCUGGCGGCGUGCUUAACACAUGCAAGUCGAGCGGAAAGGCCCUUCGGGGUACUCGAGCGGCGAACGGGUGAGUAACACGUGAGUAAUCUGCCCCUAGCUCUGGGAUAGCUCCGGGAAAACCGGGAUUAAUACUGGAUACGACCACCUUAGACAUCUUUUGUGGUGGAAAGAAUUUCGGCUAGGGAUGAGCUCGCGGCCUAUCAGCUUGUUGGUGGGGUAAACGGCCUACCAAAGGCGACGACGGGUA